CAGCAGCCGCGGUAAAACGGAGGGCGCGAGCGUUACCCGGAUUUACUGGGCGUAAAGGGCGUGUAGGCGGCCUGGGGCGUCCCAUGUGAAAGGCCACGGCUCAACCGUGGAGGAGCGUGGGAUACGCUCAGGCUAGAGGGUGGGAGAGGGUGGUGGAAUUCCCGGAGUAGCGGUGAAAUGCGCAGAUACCGGGAGGAACGCCGAUGGCGAAGGCAGCCACCUGGUCCACUUCUGACGCUGAGGCGCGAAAGCGUGGGGAGCAAACCGGAUUAGAUACCCGGGUAGUCCCUGUCUCUUAUAA
rnacentral:rRNA from 1 species